rnacentral:rRNA from 1 species
GGGUUGUGAGGUUAAGCGACUAAGCGUACACGGUGGAUGCCCUGGCAGUCAGAGGCGAUGAAGGACGUGCUAAUCUGCGAUAAGCGCCGGUAAGGUGAUAUGAACCGUUAUAACCGGCGAUUUCCGAAUGGGGAAACCCAGUGUGAUUCGUCACACUAUCAUUACGUGAAUACAUAGCGUAAUGAAGCGAACCGGGGGAACUGAAACAUCUAAGUACCCCGAGGAAAAGAAAUCAACCGAGAUUCCCCCAGUAGCGGCGAGCGAACGGGGAGGAGCCCAGAGCCUGAAUCAGCAUGUGUGUUAGUGGAACGGUCUGGAAAGUCCGACGGUACAGGGUGAUAGUCCCGUACACCAAAAUACACAGGUUGUGAACUCGAAGAGUAGGGCGGGACACGUGGUAUCCUGUCUGAAUAUGGGGGGACCAUCCUCCAAGGCUAAAUACUCCUGACUGACCGAUAGUGAACCAGUACCGUGAGGGAAAGGCGAAAAGAACCCCGGCGAGGGGAGUGAAAAAGAACCUGAAACCGUGUACGUACAAGCAGUGGGAGCCCCACCACUAAGCCAGUGGUGGACUCCACAUACGCAUCCUUUGCUGAGGAUACGGUUAACGGAGCGCAAGCGACGUUCAACCGCAAAAGAAGCAGAGGGGGCUUAG